rnacentral:misc_RNA from 1 species
CAGGUGCACGCAGCUGCCAGCUCCCGACGGACCACCUCCACCCCAGCUCCUAAUUUGAUUCAUCAACAUAAUAAUAUAACCAAAAGCUCGAAGGAUUGCUUCAAAAGCUACCCUCUGACCUCCAUGACCUUCUUCGGUAGUGAAUUUAUGUUGGUAUCAGAGUAAAGUCUACGGAGUUUGCGCCUAGUAUUUCAAUACCAGUAGUUGUACACACAAAUAACUGACAUCAGAUGUUUAUAUCUGUCAUUGCAGGAAAUGGACCACUGACAUUAAACUAUAAUGGGAAAUUGAAUAAAACUGAUAUUUAGGUAUAUUGACGAUUAUAAUUCAUGUCAUUGUGCUUCCGUGUUGUCGCCAGUAGUCGCAUAAAAGGCCGGCAGCGCUUUAAACAGGACCAAUCCAAUAUUUUUUUAUUUUUAGAUGUCGGAAAUAAAGCUUCAGCGUUAUUAGCAAUAAAUAAAAGAUCAAGCAUACUGUAAAGAUUUUUCACACAAAAUAAACGCUGAAAAAAAUGACUAUUAGAUCAGCAGCAGCAUAAUAGGAAUUCCUCAUUAACGAAAUAAUAAAUCAUCGAAAAAUUUUCUCUGAAUAAUUUUAAUACAACAGAGCCUACAUUUUUUCCUCGGAUCCAUCAUGGCUGACAUCCGCACGCCCCCAAUAACGGCAAUGGGCGCCGCGAAAGGAAUCCUUUCCGAAAUAAAAUCGAGGAUUCCGAAAAAUUUACCGAAGGGUCCUAGCGAAAAAUUGCAGUUCGCUAAACACGCUCGAGGUCGUGAUGGUGGAACCCUGUCCUCGGGGGGACCAAUGGGGGAUGCAGGGCCUGGACAUGAUGCCGGUGCCCACAUCGGGGCUCCAGGGGACGUAGAGAUGCAGGCUGUAAACAACUAUGACCCGUACGCCUCAGGGGUACAGGGCGGGUACGUUAACGCUGAUGGUACUUACGUGGCAGCUACCGAAGGAGGUGAUGGUGGUCAGAUGGGUAUGGGGAGUCAGAUGGGGGAUGGUUCGGGUACGAUGCCAGGGGGAGGAGGGGGCAUGGCUGCCCCUCCUAUCAAGAGAGAGGAGAGCACGUGGAGUGCCUCCACGGCAGGGGUGGAGGGCGGCCACGACAUGAUCACGGAGUGGCAGGCUGGCUGGAACGUCACCAACGCUAUCCAGGGCAUGUUCAUCGUAUCGCUGCCAUAUGCCGUGCUGCAUGGAGGCUACUGGGCGAUCGUAGCCAUGAUCGGCAUCGCCUACAUCUGCUGCUACACCGGUAAGAUCCUCGUGGACUGCCUCUACGAGGUCGACCAGAACGGCCACUUGCAGCGCGUGCGCAACAGCUACAAGGCUGUCGCCAGAGCCGUCUUCGGCAAACAGUUCGGCGGUGAAAUCGUGCAGACUGCUCAACUAAUCGAGCUGCUCAUGACGUGCAUCCUGUACGUGGUGCUGUGCGGCGAUCUCAUGAUCGGGUCCUUCCCCAACGGCCCCAUCGACGCCCGCAGCUGGAUGGUCAUUUGCGGAAUGUUCCUCCUACCCUGCGGAUACCUCAGGAACCUGCAUCAUGUGUCCACCUUGUCCUUCUGGUGCAUGGUCACCCAUAUCAUCAUCAACGUCAUCAUAUUCGGAUAUUGUCUUGCUUGCGCCCCUAACUGGGCUUGGUCUAAAGUCAGGUUUCGUAUAGAUUUCGUUCAGUUUCCAAUAGCACUUGGAGUUAUUGUGUUCAGUUAUACGUCUCACAUCUUUCUGCCGACACUUGAACACAAUAUGAUCGAUAGAUCUAAGUUUACGAAUAUGCUGAACUGGAGCCACAUCGCCGCUGCUGCAUUCAAGUCACUCUUCGGAUACCUAGGAUACUUGACUUGGGCCGAUGACACCGAGGAGGUUAUCACUAACAACCUUGAGAACCCGAGCUUCAAGGGCAUCGUAAACGUUAUCCUGGUGGCCAAAGCCCUCUUGUCUUACCCUCUGCCAUACUACGCUGCCGUUGAGAUUAUUGAGAGGAAUUACUUCCGAGGGAAACCCACCACGGUGGGCCCAAGUGUUUGGGACUUGGAUGGCGAGUUGAAAGUUUGGGCCUUGGCUUUAAGGACCAUGAUAGUUGUCGGCACAAUUUUGAUGGCUAUAUUCAUUCCUCAUUUCGCCAUCUUGAUGGGCCUCAUUGGAUCAUGUACAGGCACCAUGUUGUCAUUCAUAUGGCCUUGCUAUUUUCACCUGAAACUUAAGGCCGGGCAGCUCGAAUGGCAUGAUGUGGCCUACGAUUAUUUCGUCAUCUUCCUAGGCUUCCUCUUCGGAAUCAUAGGAAUAUCAACUUCCUUCUAUGCCCUCGUAGAGGCCUUCCAGAUCGGACUUCCAUUUUAAGAAAUUCUGUAAAUGCGCUGUAAAAACUCUGCGCUCUUGUUGAAUAUUUACCAAGUUGAAUAUUAUGUCAUUUUUUUCGAUACUCGAUGUGGUCUGAUUGUUUGAAGGUGCACCGGUGUUAUAGAGUUGAUGUCAUGUGCGUGAUUUAUGAAACAAAGUCUUCCAUUUAUUAUAAUGUGUAGUAUUAAGAAUUUUUGGGCAUUGAACUUGUACUCGAAAACUGAUAUAUUAUCAUAUUCGAAGUCCUGAGCGUGACUCAGUCAUUUGAUUGUAAUGCAGUGUAGUCGUGUCUUUAUUUAAGUGAUGUCAAAAUUCCUACUCAACAAUAAUUCAAAUCUUGUUAUUUUCGAUUUUCGGGAAUUUGCACGAGCCUAAAUUUAUUAGAGCUUAAUUUUAAUUAUACUUGCAGGUUUAAAAUUUGGUGUGCAAUUCACGAACUACACGCGGACUAAAUUUGAGGAGAGGCUGGCUUCAAAUCAGCUUAUGGUCAGUGAGAGGUACAAGUUCAAUGCUCAGUGCAACCAAGUCUUCCAUGUAAACUUGAGAAACUUGCAGAGAGUUGGCGGGAGGAAUGUCUUCAUAAAGCAUGGAAAUCUAUGGGAUUUAGAUUCAACAUAGAAGUAAUUAACAUGAAGUAUUAAAAUUUUAUAUUCAAAGUAUAGUGAGCCAGAUGAAAUAUAAACUUACAGCUAAGUAUUUCAAAUAUUGAAAGCUAGAUCCCUACAACACUAAAAUUCCUUUAAAUAAUUUGUUAGCAUAUGAUACUGACCGGCCAUUGUCAGCAAUUGGAAAGGAUGUAUUAUAUAAUGAAAGCCUGAUGAAAUUCACUCUCAAAGUGUUGCAAGAUGUUGAAAGGUGUGGUGUCAUUGUAUUUAUGAUAUAUAGAAAGUUUGCAUUAAUGCCACGUCUUCCAGUCGAUGUGAUGAUCUUUUUAAUAAUUCUUAGCAGUCCCGCAUCAUGUAUAAAAUAAAAACACUAUUGAAAAUUCGGAGCAACAAUUUUGUAAAGCAUAAAAUGACUGCAUUUCGGAAUAUCAAUUGCGUUAUUACCGCAUGAGAAAACUAGAAAAUUCCCACCAAAUUUCUAAUCGACAUGAGCCAUUCAAGUUAUUAAAAUGUCAUUCAGGAACAGUACUCACGCACCUCUGCAUCAAUUUCAUCUGGUUCUCGUAUAAACUAAUUUUUAUCAUAAAAGAUUCUGUGAGUUGUAGAUGUUGUUAACAGUGAUGUUCUGGCUUGGUAAAAGGAAAUGGAACGUGCAUGUUCAAAAGUUUCACUGUUGUUCUAGCAUUACGUUUUCUCGCAAUUCCGCAACAAAUGCGCUAGUAGGUAAUUACCCUAUUUAUAGGCUUUCGUAUGAUUUUUAAAACGAAUUUGUUGUUUUUAAUACAUCCAGAGAUUUAUACAAAAAUUAAUCGGGAUUAAUACGAUUCCACUUUUGUUGUUAAGCGUCUGUUCCGUGGAAUUAAUUGUGAUACUUUUAUAUAAGCCGGUAGACAUUUUGCUUUGUUUCGAGAAUGUCUAUUUUAUUAUUAGAAAUUGCUAUUCAUUUUCUUACUAAUCUCAACUCCAGUAACAUUUUUCAUGCGCUGGGUUCACGUCAACAAAAUUUCGUACGUAGAAUCUCAAAAUUUCUUGAGCUGUUAGGCUUUCAAACAUAAGAAAUUAUAUCAAACUCAAUAUGUUUUUUACGUCGCAAAUGUUACGAAUUUGAAUUGCAACAAACAAUUGUUCGUUAUUGUCAAUUCCAUCACAAUUGAUCGUUGCGAUCUUGAAAUAUGCAGAAAAUUUUUACACAAAUGAGAUUUCCCGCGCUGGCGAAGCUCGAAGAAUUUAAAGUCUCUCAUGAUUUUGUCGUCUGUGAAGUGUAUUAAUAGAGCUCGUGUAAAUCUGGACGUGUUCGAUAUUUGUGUAGCAGCGAUGUAGAUAUUCCUCCUGUAUAUGUAUUACGAGUGGUCAGAUAACGUCUAGAAAAUAAAAAUACACUGAAGCAAGUGUAUUGAAAGAAACAAUGUCUUCCAUACUAUAAGAAUAAUAUAAGUUAAAAACUGAAGUCUUCCACAUUGUGAAAUUAGUUUAAUAUAGAAAAUGAUGUCUUCCACAUUGUGAAAUUAGUUUAAUUUAGAAACUGACGUCUUCCACGUUGUAAGAUUAGCUUAAUUAAGUUAAAACUGCAGGAUUUCAGAAGGUAACAUUAGUCUGCGUUAAAAACGUAAGUCUUCCGCAUUUUAAGAUAAGUCUAAGUUAAAAACUACAGUACUGCAGAACUUAGCGUUAGUCUACGUUGAAAAUUGAAGUCUUCCAUAUUGUGAGAUAAGUGAAUAUUGAUAAUAGAAAUUUAACAGCAUUACAGUACAUGCAGACUUAACGUCGCCACGUCUUCUAUGACGUGGGAUCAGGCGACUUUAAUUAAUGAAUAAGAGAUAUCCAUUAUUAUUCGUUCCAUACAUGGCGAAUGGAGGACUUACACAAAGAAGUAACAACAACAGUUAUUUGUCGUAUUCGGGUACAUAUUAAUUAAACAUUAAUAGUUCAUAUCUUGUCACUGACAGCAUUUUGUCAAAUUUGUCGAAGAAAGUGAAAAGGAUAGACGAAUCAGCAACUUUGUUCGGAAACUCGAUUCUGGCUCAACUUUCACAAGUUUUCGGCUCAGACAAUAUCUGUUCCGGCUCAAACGACACGUAUCGGCUGAACACUUUUAUUGCUCCGGCUCACUCUACAUCUACCUGCUGCAGACAACACCUAAAUCGGCUCGGGCAAUAACUACACUGGGGUGAAAUCCUCACUCAUUUCGAUCAAUGGUGAUAGUGAAUUAAUUGAUUAUUGUGAUCGCAAAAUCCAUUCUGAUUUAUGGUGGUCGUGAAUGCCACGGUCGUUGUACAUCAACAUCCAUUCCGAUCCAUGACGAUCGUGUAUGCCACGAUUGCUGUGCCAAGUAAUCGUAGCCAUAUAACCCCGAAAAUCGUCCGUCAUGAGUCAUUUUACGAAAACACCUACGGCAAUCGUAGGCUCUAGGUACUAACAUCAGACGUUCAAUAAUUAUAGAAAAUUCUCCGGUUGUCGCAUAUUAAUAUUAUAAAUUAUAAUGCAUGUUAAGAGUUGUGCGUAAGCUCAGGCUACACGUCCGCUAUAGUUGGGGAUGGCCUAGGAACCGAUUCUUGGUUGGCUUGGAAUUGGCCCAAGAGCCGAUUUCUGAUUGGCCUGGAAUCGGUCGAAGAACCGAUAAUCUUAAUUGGCUUGGAAUUGGCCCAAGUACCGAUUCUUGAUUGGCUUGGAAUUGGUCUAAGAACUGAUUCUUGAUAAACUUGGAAUUGGUCCUAGAACCGCUCCUUGACUGGCUUCUUGUUGCUGAUGUAGCAACAAGUUUCGUGUGUCUGACCCCAGCUUCAUCGAAAAUUCAGGGCUAGGUAGACAAUUGAGAGUUGAUGUCAUUAGUGUAAUGGUAUGAUUUUCAUGUAAACGUUCUUACAGUUCAUUAUUGUUUGAUAUCGCUAGACAUUGUAGAAUAAGUUGAACUUGGAUUCGAAUCUUAUAUGGGAUUAGGAUAAGUGUUAUCAAUUGUGUUUUUAGUGUGAAUCUAUGUGAAUUAUGUUGAUAAUAAUUUCUACUUUUGUUGUUGUAGUUUUUAUGGAGGUAUCUUGUGUCCCGUUGACUCACGUUGACGGAUGUUAUUUCGAUCACCGAACGAUUGGUGUCUGUGACUAAAAAAAUAUUGCAAUUCAGAUUAUUAUUAGAAUAAAAUAUAGAAUGGAGGUUUUGUUCACAUGUUAAUUGUUCUGGAAAGUAAAAUGCUGUACGUCGAGAAUGUUGAAU